rnacentral:rRNA from 1 species
AUUGAACGCUAGCGGCAGGCCUUACACAUGCAAGUCGAACGAGUGGCGGACGGGUGAGUAAUAUAUGGGAAACUGCCCAGUAGCGGGGGAUAACUACUGGAAAGGGUGGCUAAUACCGCAUACUAUGGGAGGGGCAGAUCUCGGAUUAGCUAGUUGGUGGGGUAACGGCUCACCAAGGCGACGAUCCGUAGCUGGUUUGAGAGGACGACCAGCCACACUGGGACUGAGACACGGCCCAGACUCCUACGGGAGGCAACAGUGGGGAAUUUUGGACAAUGGGGGAAACCCUGAUCCAGCCAUCCCGCGUGUAUGAGAAGGCCUUCGGGUUGUAAAGUACUUUUGGCAGAGAAGCGGUAUCUGCAGAAUAAGCACCGGCUAACUACGUGCCAGCAGCCGCGGUAAUAC